GUCGGGAUAGCUCAGUUGGUAGAGCAGAGGACUGAAAAUCCUCGUGUCCG
rnacentral:tRNA from 1 species